CCCUAGCCCCGAUUGAAACGAAAAUCCUUUUUAUCUCGUUUUUUAACGAGAUAAAAAGAUUGAAGUGUAAAGCGGGAAAAAGC
rnacentral:sRNA from 1 species